rnacentral:rRNA from 1 species
UGGGGAAUAUUGCACAAUGGGCGCAAGCCUGAUGCAGCCAUGCCGCGUGUAUGAAGAAGGCCUUCGGGUUGUAAAGUACUUUCAGCGGGGAGGAAGGCGUUGUGGUUAAUAACCACAGCGAUUGACGUUACCCGCAGAAGAAGCACCGGCUAACUCCGUGCCAGCAGCCGCGGUAAUACGGAGGGUGCAAGCGUUAAUGAUGAAUACUGGGCGUAAAGCGCACGCAGGCGGUCUGUCAAGUCGGAUGUGAAAUCCCCCGGGCUCAACCUGGGAACUGCAUUCGAAACUGGCAGGCUAGAGUCUUGUAGAGGGGU